rnacentral:lncRNA from 1 species
GGGACGGCAAUGCGCAUCAGGGAGACGCGACAUGGCAGUGGCAGCAGAUACCGUGGAAACAACUCCGCCGCCGCCUUUUAGCGGACUGCCUGGGACUGUGGGCGCGCAUCCCCUUCUCUCUUUCUUUUCUUGGCACAGGAAGGUGGGGGGAAGAAGGGGAGACGACAAAGAAAAGCAAGGAAAACUCCGACAAACCCUCCAACCCCGUGCUAAAUGCUUUGGUAUACCUGUAAAUAAAUGAAUACAUAACCAGCAAGUUGUUGUUGUCAUGCCUUUUUUUUUUUAAAUAUGUGUAUGUGUAUACAUUUAUAUAUACACAUGUAUAUACAAAUUUCAGCCAGCAUCUGAGGUGAUGAAAAAACAUGGUAUGAAUUGCACACAGUGAAGCCAAGGGUGCCUUGGAACAAUUAACAGAGCAAUGCAAAACAGCCUUGCAAGUCUUCUAAGAAACAUCAUAGUAACAGCUUCCCUACCUGGCCUCCCCCUCUUAGAUUCC